rnacentral:rRNA from 11 species
AUGUAUAGUUUAAAUACCACAAGGACACCAGACCCCAACUGAUCUUGGAAGCUAAGCAGGGUCAGGUCUGGUUAGUACUUAGAUGGAGACCCUGAACAAAUACCACGUACUGUAGGCU